rnacentral:rRNA from 1 species
UACGUAGGGGGCAAGCGUUGUCCGGAAUUAAUGGGCGUAAAGGGCGCGUAGGCGGCCCGAUUAGUCCGCUGUGAAAGUCCAGGGCUCAACCCUGGAAUGCCGGUGGAUACUGUCGGGCUAGAGUCCGGAAGGGGCGAGUGGAAUUCCUGGUGUAGCGGUGAAAUGCGUAGAUAUCAGGAGGAACACCGGUGGCGAAGGCGC